rnacentral:rRNA from 1 species
UACGUAGGGGGCAAGCGUUGUCCGGAAUCAUUGGGCGUAAAGCGCGUGUAGGCGGUUCGAUAAGUCUGCUGUGAAAGUUCAGGGCUCAACCCUGAAAUGCCGGUGGAAACUGUCGAGCUAGAGUCCGGAAGAGGUGAGUGGAAUUCCUGGUGUAGCGGUGAAAUGCGCAGAUAUCAGGAGGAACACCAAUGGCGAAGGCAGCUCACUGGGACGGUACUGACGCUGAGACGCGAAAGCGUGGGGAGCAAACAGG